rnacentral:rRNA from 1 species
UACGUAGGGAGCGAGCGUUAUCCGGAAUUAUUGGGUGUAAAGGGUGCGUAGACGGGUAGAUAAGUUAGUUGUGAAACCCCUCGGCUCAACUGAGGAACUGCAACUAAAACUGUAUAUCUUGAGUGCGGGAGAGGAAAGUGGAAUUCCUAGUGUAGCGGUGAAAUGCGUAGAUAUUAGGAGGAACACCAGUGGCGAAGGCGACUUUCUGGACCGUAACUGACGUUGAGGCACGAAAGUGUGGGGAGCAAACAGG